AAGAUUUGGUUAGGGUUUGAUUUUGGAUUAGGAUUUGAUUUAGGGUUUAGAAUUUGGUUUAGGAUUUAGAAUUUAGAAUUUGAUUAAGAUUUGAUUUAGGAUUAAAGAUUUGAUUAGGAUUUGAUUUAGAAUUAGGAUUUGAUUAGGGUUUGAUUUAGAAUUAGAAUUUGAUUAGGAUUUGAUUUAGAAUUUGAUUAAGAUUUGGUUUAGGAUUAGGAUUGUAUUAAGAUUUAAGAUUUGGUUAGGAUUUGAUUUAGGAUUAGGAUUUAUUUAAAGCUGGUUAGGAUUUGAUUUAGGAUUAGGAUUUAUGUAAGGUUGUUUAAAAUUUAUUUAAAGUUGUUUAGGAUUUGGUUAGGAUUUGAUUUAGGAUUUGAUUUGAUUAAGGUUUGAUUUAAGGUUAUUAGGAUUUGAUUAGGAUUUAUUUAGAAUUUUUUAGGAUUUAUUUAGAGUUUUUUUAGGAUUUGGUUAGGAUUUUUUUAGGAUUGUUUAGGAUUUAGUUAGGAUUUGGUUAGAGUUUGUUUAGGAUUAUUUAGAAUUUGGUUAGGAUUUGACUAAGAUUUGGUUAAGAUUUAUCAAGGAUUUGAUUAAGAUUUGGUUAAGAUUGUUAUGGCUUUUUGUUACAAUUUUUUCUUUUAUCUUCCAUAGCCAAGUGUUAGGUGCAUUCUCAAGCCAAACACCACGUAAUACAACAACAUGCCUUAUAAUGGUCAAUAAUUCCUCAACUGUUGAGUUUUAGUUUAAGAUCUAUUUGUAGCUAAUUGAAUUGUAAUGUAUAGAAAGAUGUACGAAGGUUAAAGUGCCAUUGAUCACAUGGAAAUUGAGUUCAUCGAUUAUAGCAAAUUUCUAAUAGUAGCCCUUAGAGGAAAUUCUGGUAUGUGCAUAAGAAAUCAAUUCUAAUGGUA
rnacentral:lncRNA from 1 species